UACGUAGGGGGGCUAGCGUUGUCCGGAAUCAUUGGGCGUAAAGCGCGUGUAGGCGGUCCGAUAAGUCCGCUGUGAAAGUCGAGGGCUCAACCCUCGAAUGCCGGUGGAUACUGUCGGGCUUGAGUACGGGAGAGGCGAGUGGAAUUCCUGGUGUAGCGGUGAAAUGCGCAGAUAUCAGGAGGAACACCGAUUGCGAAGGCAGCUCGCUGGAACGUUACUGACGCUGAGACGCGAAAGCGUGGGGAGCAAACAGG
rnacentral:rRNA from 1 species